ensembl:lncRNA
UGGCGAGGUGUCCUGAGGGCAUGGGCCGACCAAGUUUUAGUGGGUGUUUUGUUUUUUUUUGGUUCUGUAAAGAGGGAGGCUGCCCCUAGGCAACGUGUUUGCAUGUUCCCAGGAGCAGCCAUGCAGCAGUCUGAGCUGCACACAAACAGGAUCCCAACAUUCAGGUCUCCGCCCACCGUAAACACAGUGAAGGUCAGGAAGCUUAUGUGUUUAUACUGUGAAUAUAGGAACUGCAUAAGCCUCAGGAGUUUAACGUGACAGGGACUAAAGCUAAAGGAUGUGCUUUACUUGUAGUCUGAAUGUUGAGGUUAGUAACAUAGCCACAGAAAGUAGCAAGGAGGAUCAUUUGCUAUGGUGCACUGUGUGGCAGAGGGCAGUUGCUCUAGAAGACUCUUGCUGUGUUCCUUUAGCUACUUGGCUUCUUCAGUCCUUCUGCCCAGGGAAGGCAGCUUGCAGGUUAACGCUCAGCAUGCCUUUUAUCUUAGAAACGAGUGACCAGGUGACAGAAUUAACUUAAAAGAAGAUUCUCAUUCUUCCUUCUUUGGAUGUUGCUGCGUGAUGGCUACACAACCAUACCACUUCCCAUACUGGAAUUUUUUUGGAAGUCCCGUGGUCUCUGUCCCAUCAUAGUAAUAAACCCAAUGUCUGUGUAGUCAGCCUGAUGUGCUCAGCUCCAGGGCACAGCACCCGUGCUGCUGAAGGAGUCACCUGCUGCAUGGAGCUGACCUCGAUCCCUAGAUGGAGCCUGCCAGGGGAGGAAGCAGGCCUGGAACAGAGAUGCACAAAGGUACUGCCUUGUGACAGCUUCCUGGGGGUGCAGGAGAGCACUUUCACCUUCCUGGAGAGCACCUGAUGCUUUUAUUGAAAUUACAUCCUCUUCUCUGAAAUAGAGUUCCUAAAGUCUGUUGGAGCAGCCUUGCCCGUGCAAGCGAAGCCAUGGCAGGUUGCUGCAGCACUGGGGAGGCUGCAAAGAGACCCGUGGGCCAGGGGCUGCAGUGGAAUAGGGCAUGGGGGCACAGGGUAGCACCAGGCAAGGGGCAGCUUGUUCCAUUCAGCUGUUGCAACAUUUCGGGCUCCUGAAGACACUUUGUAAGGUUUCCUCCUUU